rnacentral:rRNA from 1 species
CCUACGGGUGGCUGCAGUAACGAAUCUUCCGCAAUGCACGAAAGUGUGACGGAGCGACGCCGCGUGUGGGACGAAGCCCUUCGGGGUGUAAACCACUGUCAGGGGUAAGAAAGUUCUGAUCUACCCCAGAGGAAGGCACGGCUAACUCUGUGCCAGCAGCCGCGGUAAGACAGAGGUGCCGAGCGUUAGGCGGAAUCACUGGGCUUAAAGCGUGUGUAGGCGGAUUGGUAAGUACCUUGUGAAAUCCCACAGCUUAACUGUGGAACUGCUUGGUAUACUGCUUAUCUUGGGCCACUUAGGGGUUACCGGAACAAACGGUGGAGCGGUGAAAUGCGUAGAUAUCGUUUGGAACGCCAAUGGUGAAAACAGGUAACUGGGAGUGUGCCGACGCUGAGACACGAAAGCCAGGGGAGCGAACGGGAUUAGAUACCCUAGUAGUC